GCGGCGGACGGGUGAGUAACACGUGGGCAACCUGCCCGCAAGACCGGGAUAACUCCGGGAAACCGGAGCUAAUACCGGAUAACACCGAAGACCGCAUGGUCUUUGGUUGAAAGGCGGCCUUUGGCUGUCACUUGCGGAUGGGCCCGCGGCGCAUUAGCUAGUUGGUGAGGUAACGGCUCACCAAGGCGACGAUGCGUAGCCGGCCUGAGAGGGUGACCGGCCACACUGGGACUGAGACACGGCCCAGACUCCUACGGGAGGCAGCAGUAGGGAAUCUUCCGCAAUGGGCGAAAGCCUGACGGAGCGACGCCGCGUGAGCGAAGAAGGCCUUCGGGUCGUAAAGCUCUGUUGUGAGGGACGAAGGAGCGCCGUUCGAAGAGGGCGGCGCGGUGACGGUACCUCACGAGGAAGCCCCGGCUAACUACCUGCCAGCAGCCGCGGUAAUAC
rnacentral:rRNA from 3 species